AACGAACGCUGGCGGCAUGCCUAACACAUGCCAGUCGAACGAGACCUUCGGGUCUAGUGGCGCACGGGUGCGUAACGCGUGGGAACCUGCCCUUAGGUUCGGAAUAACUCCCCGAAAGGGGUGCUAAUACCGGAUAAUGUCUUCGGACCAAAGAUUUAUCGCCUUUGGAUGGGCCCGAGUUGGAUUAGCUAGUUGGUAGGGUAAAAGCCUACCAAGGCGACGAUCCAUAGCUGGUCUGAGAGGAUGAUCAGCCACACUGGGACUGAGACACGGCCCAGACUCCUACGGGAGGCAGCAGUGGGGAAUAUUGGACAAUGGGCGAAAGCCUGAUCCAGCAAUGCCGCGUGAGUGAUGAAGGCCUUAGGGUUGUAAAGCUCUUUUACCCGGGAUGAUAAUGACAGUACCGGGAGAAUAAGCUCCGGCUAACUCCGUG
rnacentral:rRNA from 1 species